CACCUGGCUGGCUCAGUUGGGAGAGCAUGCAACUUCUGAUCUUGGGGGUAUAAGUUCGAGCCCCAUGUUGGGUACAAACACAGAAAAAAUGUUUA